AGCGAAACAGUGAAAAGGAAUAGUAGAAAGAACCAUGUUUUAGAGAGCGUAUGGUUGGUGAAAAUACGCACAGAAGCUUUCGAACUCGCCUUUGAGUUAUUUUACUGAACAAGUAUAAAAAAUCCACUUUACUAAGUAAAAUCGGCGGCGGUCGUUACAACGCUGAGGCUUGUAUCUAUACAAGUGAAUUUAGGUGGUACCACGUUGUCAAUUAUACGUCCUAUAG
rnacentral:ncRNA from 1 species